GAAGCUUCAUUGGCCUUACUGAUUACUACAGAAGAUUUAUUAAGGAUUAUGGCAAGAUAGCAAAGCCUCUUACCAUUUUGCUCAAGCAGGGUAGUUAUAAUUGGACUGAAGAAGCACAGAAUGCCUUUGUAGUUCUUAAGCAAGCAAUGAUUCGAGCUCCAGUUCUGUCCCUACCAGAUUUCUCUAAAGUUUUCAUUGUGGAGAUUGAUGCCUUUGGUGAAGCUAUUGGGGCUAUGCUUAUGCAAGAGGGUCACCCUAUUGCCUAUAUUAGCAAGGUGUUGUCUGUGAGAAACAUGGGGCU
rnacentral:misc_RNA from 1 species